AAGAGUAAAUAACCAGGUAGAGAAGCUGCACAGGAAGUCAUCUAAUGAGGAGGAGAUCCUCAGCAGGGACCCUGGGGACAGCGAAGCCCCUACAGAGAUUGGGGAGGAGAGUGAAGCCCAGUCAUAGGAGAAGAAAGAGUGACCCCAGCCCGCCUCAGGCCUCCUGCAAAAAUACAUAGCAUAAACAACAAGAGCCAUCAGAAAGAAAAGCAGGACUGAAGCCAGCGGUCCACACAUCCACAGAGGCAGCGGGCAGAGGAAGCACAGGGCCGUCAUUCCCUCCCUUGUUUCCCAGUCUUACUAGUCACCCAGACCUGAAAACAUAUCCUCAGGGGUGGAGAUUUUACAAUUAAAUACUGUUGUUCUCUUGUUCUGGGUGCCCUCUCCCUUGGUUCAUCAAGCAGCAGUCAUAUAAUACCACAUACUUGACCUCCUGCCCACAGGCGAACUCCCACCUCCUGGCCCCUCUCAUAGGAUCACUGGGCCUGCCUGCACUGUGGGGCCAAGCCCCGUCUUUUUCCCAAGCCCUCAAGCCCAGGCAUGAAUGUUCAUCCAGACUUGGUGGGGGGCUUUUCACUCUUACAAGAUGGCAAAAGAUUCACUUGGUUUUUUAAAAAUUUGUUUUUCUUUUUAAAAAUCCCAACCCUUGGAUAGCAGGGAGAUGCUGGAGGGGUAGGGUCAGGAAGAGCAUGUGAGAGCAGUCAUUUCCCAAGAUUGCCCUCUGCGGGACUGUAUUUCAGAAAACACACUGGUGGGGCUACCUCUCCAUUCACAUGUACUGCCCUAGCCUCUCCCCAUCCCCCGCUGAUGCACAUCCAUAGCUGCACUGUUCCAUAAUGGCAGUAGAAUGCUGCACAAGGCGCAAGGAUUCCUCCACUCCACUUUCAAAGAAAAAGUCACUAAUCACAUUUGGUAGGUUAGGGAACAUUAAACACAAAUGAACUCAGGCAGUUGGUAACAGGAGGUAAAGAACAGCGCUAACUGCAGAACAGCUGCCCCCCACC
ensembl:lncRNA